GUAGGGAAUAUUGCGCAAUGGACGAAAGUCUGACGCAGCGACGCCGCGUGAGUGAUGAAGGCCUUAGGGUCGUAAAGCUCUGUUGAAUGGGAAGAAAAAAAUGACGGUACCAUUCGAGGAAGGACCGGCUAACUUCGUGCCAGCAGCCGCGGUAAUACGAGGGGUCCUAGCGUUGUUCGGAAUCAUUGGGCGUAAAGGGUGUGUAGGUGGGCAUGUAAGUCAGGUGUGAAAGCCCCGGGCUCAACCCGGGAAGUGCACUUGAUACUGCGUGGCUUGAGUACCGAAGAGGGUAGUGGAAUUCCAGGUGUAGUGGUGAAAUACGUAGAUAUCUGGAGGAACACCGGUGGCGAAGGCGGCUACCUGGUCGAGUACUGACACUGAGACACGAAAGCAUGGGGAUCAAACAGGAUUAGAAACCCCGGUAGUCC
rnacentral:rRNA from 1 species